rnacentral:rRNA from 1 species
CAUAGCCGCGGUAAUACGAAGGGUGCAAGCGUUACUCGGAAUUACUGGGCGUAAAGCGUGCGUAGGUGGUGGUUUAAGUCCGUUGUGAAAGCCCCGGGCUCAACCGGGGAAGUGGCGCCGAUACGGCCGGCCUGGAGGGGGGUAGGGGGGUCUGGAACUUCCGGUGGAGCGGUGAAAUGCGUUGAGAUCGGAAGGAACGCCCGUGGCGAAAGCGCGGCCCUGGACUCUUUCUGACGCUGAGACUCGAAAGCUAGGGGAGCGAACGGGAUUAGAUACCCCCGUAGUCCCUGUCUCUUAUACA